rnacentral:rRNA from 1 species
UGCGUAGGUCCCGAGCGUUGUCCGGAUUUAUUGGGCGUAAAGCGAGCGCAGGUGGUUUAUUAAGUCUGGUGUAAAAGGCAGUGGCUCAACCAUUGUAUGCAUUGGAAACUGGUAGACUUGAGUGCAGGAGAGGAGAGUGGAAUUCCAUGUGUAGCGGUGAAAUGCGUAGAUAUAUGGAGGAACACCAGUGGCGAAGGCGGCUUACUGGACUGUAACUGACGUUGAGGCUCGAAAGCGUGGGGAGCAAACAGG